AGAGUUUGAUCCUGGCUCAGGAUGAACGCUAGCGGCAGGCCUAAUACAUGCAAGUCGAACGGGAAGGUCUCUUCGGAGAUACACGAGUGGCUGGCGCACGGGUGAGUAACGCGUAUGCAACCUACCUUUAACUGGAGGAUAGCCCCGAGAAAUCGGGAUUAAUACUUCAUAACACUAUGAAACGACAUCGUUUUAUAUUUAAAGCUCCGGCGGUUAAAGAUGGGCAUGCGUGACAUUAGAUAGUUGGUGAGGUAACGGCUCACCAAGUCCACGAUGUCUAGGGGUUCUGAGAGGAUUAUCCCCCACACUGGUACUGAGACACGGACCAGACUCCUACGGGAGGCAGCAGUAAGGAAUAUUGGGCAAUGGACGAAAGUCUGACCCAGCCAUGCCGCGUGCAGGAUGACAGCCCUAUGGGUCGUAAACUGCUCUUAUAAGAGAAGAAACCUUCGGACGUGUCCGAGGGCGGACGGUAUCGUAAGAAUAAGGACCGGCUAACUCCGUGCCAGCAGCCGCGGUAAUACGGAGGGUCCAAGCGUUAUCCGGAUUUAUUGGGUUUAAAGGGUGCGUAGGCGGGAUAAUAAGUCAGAGGUGAAAGCCCACAGCUCAACUGUGGAACUGCCUUUGAUACUGUUAUUCUUGAGUUCAGAUGAGGUGGGCGGAAUGUGACAUGUAGCGGUGAAAUGCAUAGAUAUGUCACAGAACACCGAUUGCGAAGGCAGCUCACUAAACUGAUACUGACGCUGAGGCACGAAAGCGUGGGGAGCGAACAGGAUUAGAUACCCUGGUAGUCCACGCCGUAAACGAUGAUUACUCGAUGCGUGCAAUAUAAAGUACGUGUCCAAGCGAAAGCGUUAAGUAAUCCACCUGGGGAGUACGAUCGCAAGGUUGAAACUCAAAGGAAUUGACGGGGGCCCGCACAAGCGGAGGAGCAUGUGGUUUAAUUCGAUGAUACGCGAGGAACCUUACCUGGGCUCAAACGUAGAGUGACCAUCUGUGAAAGCAGAUUUCCCUUCGGGGCAGUCUACGAGGUGCUGCAUGGUUGUCGUCAGCUCGUGCCGUGAGGUGUCGGGUUAAGUCCCAUAACGAGCGCAACCCCUAUCUUUAGUUACCAUCAGGUUAUGCUGGGGACUCUAAAGAAACUGCCCGUGCAAACGGUGAGGAAGGUGGGGAUGACGUCAAAUCAGCACGGCCCUUACGUCCAGGGCUACACACGUGUUACAAUGGUCGGUACAAUGGGCAGCUACUUGGUGACAAGAUGCUAAUCUCCAAAGCCGAUCUCAGUUCGGAUCGAAGUCUGCAACUCGACUUCGUGAAGUUGGAUUCGCUAGUAAUCGUAUAUCAGCAAUGAUACGGUGAAUACGUUCCCGGGCCUUGUACACACCGCCCGUCAAGCCAUGGAAGUUGGGGGUGCCUAAAGUCGAUAACCGCAAGGAAUCGCCUAGGGUAAAACCGAUAACUGGGGCUAAGUCGUAACAAGGUAGCC
rnacentral:rRNA from 1 species